GGUUCGGGAGGUAUGACCUUUCGGCUUCUAUCGUGAACUCAGAGAAACUCAGAGUUCUCUCCCUCCCUAACUCAGCGGCGCGACUCCUUCUCUCCGAUCAAAUCACCGGCCACCAUGGAUCAAGAACACGAAACCGUUAUCGUCAUCUCGUCUCUCUACUUCACCACUCUCGCAUAUCUCUGAUUCAAUCUCCGACUUCGAUCCAAGCAACAUGAUAAAAACAAAACGAUGAUGAACGCUGCGUGAAUACUGCGAUUGGGAGCUGAAGAUGCGUGGAGAUGAUGAUGUUGAUGAAUGUAUAGAGAAGUUGAUUGAUUGGAGAUGAUGGUGAGUCUGAAGGUGAAUUCGAUUCAGAGAAGUUUGAAGAUUACAGUUCUUGCGUGUCGUAGUUGAGGAAUCGUCCACAGCGAACGAUGACAAUGAUGAUUGAAGUGUCGAUUGAUGGAAUUGGAGAAUGACGUGAAGUUGAAGGUUGAACUCGAUUCAGAUGCUAAAGAUGAUGAUGGAGGCUUCGGUUGGAGGUUGUUUGAAGGUUGAAUGGAUUGAAGAAGAUAAAAGUGAUUGAAAUCUGAAUUUUUCUGUUAUGGUUCUUGGUGAAUGAUGAAGAAGGUUUGAAUGUGAAGAGGUUUUGUGAGUGUGGAGAAGAUGAAGAAGGUUCAGAGAGAGAAGGAUGAAGGUCCUGUUCAAGCGUUGGCGAUUGCAGAGCUCCAAGUUUUAUUACAGGUUCUGAGUUUUUUUUUUGUGCGAUGAAGAUAGAAUCAAAGGGGAUGAAGGUUGAUGAUUGAAUGAAGAGGUGAAGGAUUCUGAAGGUGAAGAACACUGGAUCGGUGAUGAUGAUUGUUGAAUUGGGAGAGAAAGAUUGAAGAUGAUGAAGAUCGGAGAAGAAAUGUGGAUGAAGAUAGUGCAGAGAUGUGUGAAAAUGGUGGAGCCCUGAAGAAUGUAGCAGUGCUCUGUUAUAUAGAGAUUGAAGAUGAAGAGAAUUCCAGGUUAUGAGGUUCAAAGCUAACUGAUUUUGGACAUGAAUGAGGAGCAAGGAUAUGGAGGAGAUUGAAGCUUGGUGGAAGCAUGAAGAUGUGAUCAUGAUGAAGUGUAGGAUUAGGAUAGGGUGUUUGAUUUUGGUUGACUUAGGUUAAAAAUCUGUAUCUUUAUAGCUUUUUUCUUCAAUGUAAUGUGUAAUAGACACCUUUUUUUGGAUUUUGUACCAAACAACUCUUAAGUUUCAAUCUGAUUGGAUUUUGGUUGAUUUGAAA